UACGUAGGGUGCAAGCGUUAAUCGGAAUUACUGGGCGUAAAGCGUGCGCAGGCGGUUUUGUAAGUCAGAUGUGAAAUCCCCGGGCUUAACCUGGGAACUGCGUUUGAAACUACAAGGCUAGAGUGUGACAGAGGGGGGUGGAAUUCCACGGUGUAGCAGUGAAAUGCGUAGAGAUGUGGAGGAACACCGAUGGCGAAGGCAGCCCCCUGGGUUAACACUGACGCUCAGGCACGAAAGCGUGGGGAGCAAACAGG
rnacentral:rRNA from 1 species